GUUUUAAAAUUUGCUAUGGACCAAAUACUUCUGAAAAAAAAGAAGUCGGGUAUUUUGUUUGGCUUAGACUCAUAAAAAAUGAAGAACUGGUGUUUCUAUCCAGUGAAUGUAAGCCAACUAUCAAGAAAGGACGGGAAUUCGAACUAGAACAUGUUCAUAAAACAUACGAUAAAAUUGCUAAUCAUUUUUCUCAUACAAGACACACUCCUUGGCCGAAAAUUGCAAAUAUUUUAAGAAACUUAACUUUUGGACAAAUUAUCUUAGACGUGGGUUGUGGAAAUGGAAGAUAUGCAGCGUGUUUACCAAAGAAUUCAGUUUAUAUUGGAUUA